rnacentral:rRNA from 1 species
UCCGUAGGCGGGUAAUUAAGUCAGAGGUGAAAUCCCACAGCUUAACUGUGGAACUGCCUUAGAUACUGGUUAUCUUGAGUUUUAGUGAAGUAGAUAGAAUGUGUAGUGUAGCGGUGAAAUGCAUAGAUAUUACAUAGAAUACCGAUUGCGAAGGCAGUCUACUAACUAUAUACUGACGCUGAUGGACGAAAGCGUGGGGAGCGAACAGGAUUAGAUACCCUGGUAGUCC